rnacentral:tRNA from 1 species
AAGAAGCUAAAAUAGCACUAGCCUUU